rnacentral:lncRNA from 1 species
GGGAAGAGGUGUUGGGUGCAGUUACAGAUGGUCCUGCACUUAUGAUGCUUGCUUUCCAGGACUUGUUGACUUCAUCAUUGUACAAUGUAGAAAGUGUAUUCUGAAUUUUUAAAUUUUGAUUUGUUUUUAAACAGGCUAGCAUGACAUAUGCCAUGUUUUUUUGGGUGACUCUGGUUGGUGACAUGAACUGCUUCUGCCAAGCGAUCAAGAGGAGAAACUGUUGAAAACCCUUGCUGUGUGUGAGAAUCAGUGAGGAGAGAAUGGUGUUGUGGAAUGAUCCGAGAGAAAGACACCAGAGAACAGUUGGAAAGGGCGGAACCUCUAUCUAAUCUCUCACUGGAGAGAGGUGGCUCAGCUGCUGUGGUCCCAGAUUUGGUCUGCUUUUCUCUGGAAUCUUGGAAGCCCUGUCUGUGUGGAAACACAUCCCAGGAAGCAGAGACAACUGGGUGUAGCAAGAAUGUAAAUUAGAGCAAGAUGCAUCAAAGAAAACAUAUCUUCAGACUCGUGUGGGUUUCUUUUUAAUUGGAAUUUAUAAUUGCACCUAAUUAUAGGACAUAUUUUACAUGUUCCCUUUGAGAGGCUGAGAGGGGGUGGAGCCCUGUCCACUCCAGUCACAGGAGC